rnacentral:rRNA from 1 species
AUUGAACGCUGGCGGCAGGCCUAACACAUGCAAGUCGAGCGGAGCGGCGGACGGGUGAGUAAUGCCUAGGAAUCUGCCUGGUAGUGGGGGAUAACGUCCGGAAACGGGCGCUAAUACCGCAUACUAUCAGAUGAGCCUAGGUCGGAUUAGCUAGUGGGAGGGGUAAAGGCCUACCAAGGCGACGAUCCGUAACUGGUCUGAGAGGAUGUUCAGUCACACUGAAACUGAGACGCGUUCCAGACACCUACGGGAGGCAGCAGUGGGGAAUAUUGGACAAUGGACGAAAGCAUGGUCCUGCCAUGCCGCGUAUGUGAAGAAGGUCUUCGGAUUGUAAAGCACUUUAAGUUGAGAGGCGUUACCAACAGAGUAAGCACCGGCUAACUUCGUGCCAGCAGCCGCGGUAAUAC